rnacentral:rRNA from 1 species
UACGUAGGGUGCGAGCGUUAAUCGGAAUUACUGGGCGUAAAGCGUGCGCAGGCGGUUUUGUAAGACAGAUGUGAAAUCCCCGGGCUUAACCUGGGAACUGCGUUUGUGACUGCAAGGCUAGAGUACGGCAGAGGGGGGUGGAAUUCCUGGUGUAGCAGUGAAAUGCGUAGAUAUCAGGAGGAACACCGAUGGCGAAGGCAGCCCCCUGGGCCGAUACUGACGCUCAUGCACGAAAGCGUGGGUAGCAAACAGG